UACGGAGGAUGCGAGCGUUAUCCGGAUUUAUUGGGUUUAAAGGGUGCGUAGGCGGGCUUUUAAGUCAGCGGUAAAAAUGCGGGGCUCAACCCCGUCCGGCCGUUGAAACUGGGGGUCUUGAGUGGGCGAGAAGAAGGCGGAAUGCGUGGUGUAGCGGUGAAAUGCAUAGAUAUCACGCAGAACCCCGAUUGCGAAGGCAGCCUUCCGGCGCCCUACUGACGCUGAGGCACGAAAGUGCGGGGAUCGAACAGG
rnacentral:rRNA from 1 species